UGGAGAAGCAAACCCACCACCAUCA
rnacentral:misc_RNA from 1 species